rnacentral:rRNA from 1 species
CAAUGGGCGAAAGCCUGACGGAGCAACGCCGCGUGAGUGAUGAAGACCUUCGGGUUGUAAAGCUCUGUCGGAGGGGAAGAACACAAUGACGGUACCCUCCAAGAAAGCCCCGGCUAACUACGUGCCAGCAGCCGCGGUAAUACGUAGGGGGCGAGCGUUAUCCGGAUUUACUGGGCGUAAAGCGCGUUAAGGCGGCCGACAAAGUUGGUGGUGGAAAUUCAGGGCUCAACUCUGAAACUGCCUCCAAUACUGGUUGGCUUGAGUGCGAGAGAGGAAGGUGGAAUUCCCGGUGUAGUAGUGAAAUGCGUAGAUAUCGGGAGGAACACCAGUGGCGAAGGCGGCCUUCUGGCUCGCAACUGACGCUGUAGCGCGAAAGCGUGUGGAGCGAACGGGAUUAGAUACCCCG